rnacentral:rRNA from 1 species
GCAGUCGAACGAACUUCCGUUAAUUGAUCAUGACGUGCUUGCACUGAAUGAGAUUUUAACACGAAGUGAGUGGCGGACGGGUGAGUAACACGUGGGUAACCUGCCCAGAAGCAGGGGAUAACACCUGGAAACAGAUGCUAAUACCGUAUAACAGAGAAAACCGCCUGGUUUUCUUUUAAAAGAUGGCUCUGCUAUCACUUCUGGAUGGACCCGCGGCGCAUUAGCUAGUUGGUGAGGUAACGGCUCACCAAGGCGAUGAUGCGUAGCCGACCUGAGAGGGUAAUCGGCCACAUUGGGACUGAGACACGGCCCAGACUCCUACGGGAGGCAGCAGUAGGGAAUCUUCCACAAUGGACGCAAGUCUGAUGGAGCAACGCCGCGUGAGUGAAGAAGGGUUUCGGCUCGUAAAGCUCUGUUGUUAAAGAAGAACGUGGGUGAGAGUAACUGU